AGUCGAACGGUGAUGUCAGAGCUUGCUCUGGCGGAUCAGUGGCGAACGGGUGAGUAACACGUGAGUAACCUGCCCCCGACUCUGGGAUAACUGCUAGAAAUGGUAGCUAAUACCGGAUAUGACGAUUGGCCGCAUGGUCUGGUCGUGGAAAGAAUUUCGGUUGGGGAUGGACUCGCGGCCUAUCAGGUUGUUGGUGAGGUAAUGGCUCACCAAGCCUACGACGGGUAGCCGGCCUGAGAGGGUGACCGGCCACACUGGGACUGAGACACGGCCCAGACUCCUACGGGAGGCAGCAGUGGGGAAUAUUGCACAAUGGGCGAAAGCCUGAUGCAGCAACGCCGCGUGAGGGAUGACGGCCUUCGGGUUGUAAACCUCUUUUAGUAGGGAAGAAGCGAAAGUGACGGUACCUGCAGAAAAAGCACCGGCUAACUACGUGCCAGCAGCCGCGGUAAUACGUAGGGUGCAAGCGUUGUCCGGAAUUAUUGGGCGUAAAGAGCUCGUAGGCGGUUUGUCGCGUCUGCUGUGAAAUCCCGAGGCUCAACCUCGGGUCUGCAGUGGGUACGGGCAGACUAGAGUGCGGUAGGGGAGAUUGGAAUUCCUGGUGUAGCGGUGGAAUGCGCAGAUAUCAGGAGGAACACCGAUGGCGAAGGCAGAUCUCUGGGCCGUAACUGACGCUGAGGAGCGAAAGCAUGGGGAGCGAACAGGAUUAGAUACCCUGGUAGUCCAUGCCGUAAACGUUGGGAACUAGAUGUGGGGACCAUUCCACGGUCUCCGUGUCGCAGCUAACGCAUUAAGUUCCCCGCCUGGGGAGUACGGCCGCAAGGCUAAAACUCAAAGGAAUUGACGGGGGCCCGCACAAGCGGCGGAGCAUGCGGAUUAAUUCGAUGCAACGCGAAGAACCUUACCAAGGCUUGACAUAUACCGGAAACAUGCAGAAAUGUGUGCCCCGCAAGGUCGGUAUACAGGUGGUGCAUGGUUGUCGUCAGCUCGUGUCGUGAGAUGUUGGGUUAAGUCCCGCAACGAGCGCAACCCUCGUUCUAUGUUGCCAGCACGUAAUGGUGGGAACUCAUAGGAGACUGCCGGGGUCAACUCGGAGGAAGGUGGGGAUGACGUCAAAUCAUCAUGCCCCUUAUGUCUUGGGCUUCACGCAUGCUACAAUGGCCGGUACAAAGGGCUGCGAUACCGUAAGGUGGAGCGAAUCCCAAAAAGCCGGUCUCAGUUCGGAUUGAGGUCUGCAACUCGACCUCAUGAAGUCGGAGUCGCUAGUAAUCGCAGAUCAGCAACGCUGCGGUGAAUACGUUCCCGGGCCUUGUACACACCGCCCGUCAAGUCAUGAAAGUCGGUAACACCCGAAGCCAGUGGCCUAACCGCAAGGGAGGAGCUGUCGAAGGUG
rnacentral:rRNA from 1 species